rnacentral:sRNA from 12 species
UUGCGCCUGCGGCGGGUCAGGCACGGUUCACAAGCGACGCAUUUUGUUCGGGCUUCGCAGGCAGCCGAACCGUGUACGGUCUGGUAGAAUUCCGUAAUUUACGGAAUUUAACGUAUUCGC